GGACGAUAAUAUCAAAACAAAAAUCACAGGAUGUGAAAGUUCACCUUUCGAGGGUCAAAUAUCAAAAAUAGGAUAUAAAAGAUUACAGUAAACACAUGUAAAAAGAUAUCAAAAGUAUCAGUCAUAUCGUGAAAUGAAAAGAAAUGUUUGCACCGAAUGGUUCACGUAAUCAUAGAAUAAAAAGUAAAAUUAGAGCUGAAAACAAACGUUUCGAAUUUCAAAAUUGGUGAUAAUUUCGAAAACGCAUUGUGCACUUUGGUUCGUUGAUUAUUUCGUUGAAAGAUAGGCGGUAAGAUCGUUCUUUCUCUCUCUCCUUUGCUAGCUGUAACUCGGUAAGUAAAAUAUUGAUUAGGCAGUACAGAAACCUAGAUAGUUUUUACUGCAUUUAUCGCGGCCGUCUCUAUAUUUAUCAAGCAUUCCACGCGGUGAUCUACUCUCUUCCUUUUUUUCUUUUAAUAUGUACGCAUCAAUGAUAUUAACCAGAUCAGUGAAAAAGCUUUGUUCGCGAUACACAACUAGCUUUCGGUACAAAGCUUUUUGUACCUAAAACCGAACCUAAAUGGGAUUACGUAAGUUAUCUUGGCGAGGUUUUCCCCUCUGUCAGUUCCUCGUCGAUUUAGUUAGUGUGUUACGCUUGGUUCUAUUUACUUAACGGUUUUCCACUUUGAUGUAUUUAAGACAUUGUCAAGCAUUAAUCGCUAUUGGGCGCGGCGAUUGAAUCAAAUUGAGUUACACAAAGCCGAUUCGCUAAAUUGAUUAAAUGCUAUUGAGUAUGGUCACGAAGGUUUUGAUCAGUGGUGUCUUUAUUUUGGCGUGUAUUUGAAUAACGAAUAACGUUUUUAUUGUGAAUAUCGAGUAUUUACAUGAAACAUUAUAUUUAUUUGAUGACGGAAUACAUUUUUUAGUAUGGAUCGAAAGAAUAUAUUACAAAACUUACAAAAAUAUUUAAAACACGUUAUUAGCAAUUGGUUUAAGAAUUAUUUCUAUUUUUUUACUGCAUCUUUCUUUGUAGUAACUGAUAUUCAAAAUUAAAUUUUUCAAAUAAUUUAAAAAUAUUUAUUUUUCAAAGUAAUUAUUCAUAUUACUGUGAUAUAAAGAAUUUCGAUAUAACAUCGAACAACUAACAAACUCAUUUUUCCCAAACCGUUUUCCCAAAUUGAAUCAUUAUUUAGUAAAUAUGUGUUAUUUAAUCUAUCAGGUUUUGUGACGCAAACACAAGCUUCUCCAAAUAUCAGAAUUUUUAAAUUGGUACUUAAUCAUCUGACCUAAUGCCAAUAUCAUCCUUGCCAAUCUACACACUGUAUAUUAUAUUAUGCAAAAAUUUUGGGCCAUCUACUCACAAUAACAAUUAAUAAUAUAUUUAGAAAAUGUUUUCAUAUAGUGUUAACAAAGAAAUAAAUCUUUUAUCAAUUAAUUUUAUAUUAUCAAAAUUGUUUUUCUUAUAUUCGGGUUAAAUACGCACUUGUCCACUUUCUUCAUACUUUAAAAAAUAUUCUUCAUCAUAAUAUUAAAAUAUUAAAAAACGUUUUGAAUAUUUGGAGAUAUAAUAUACUAUUUAUCUUAAGAACUAUAUCUUUGGCAAGAUAAUAAUAAUGCAUAGCAAAAUUAUUUAGAGAUGGAAGAAAACAGAAAAAAUAGAGAACAUACAAGAGAAAUAUAUUAGAUCUGGAUUUUAACAUCUCAACAUAGUCUUGGUGGAAACCAAAACGAAUAAAGUAAGGAUAGAGGCGGGUAACAGACCAAUAAGAUACGAGGAGAAAACAAAACGGUUAAACAAAAAUAAAAUGAUACAGAAUGCUGAAGGGAAAUACAUACAGAUCAAGAUAAGAAAUGUAAAGAAAUAAAAGAUAUUUAAAACAGGCAGAGAAUGAUAAAUACUAAAGAAUUGGAAAUGGAAAGAAGAAGAGACGAAGAUUUUGUUGAAGAUCUAACACAAAUGGACUGGGCAGAGCAGUUACAAUGGAAAUACAAUAGAACAGUAGAAGGCGGGUAUAACAAACGUUAUAAGUAAAUUAGAGACAAUCAAAAAGCUAAAUAUUUAAAUGAAAACGUGGAAACGAAGAAAGGGGAAAUAUGUAUUGAAAAAAAGAAGAUACAAUCCGCAAACUAUGUAAAGAGGCAUGAGAGUCACUGGAACAUAUGCUGCAUGAAUGUAAAGAGCUGAAAGGAACACGGUUAACAGAAAGAGAAAUACUAAAGGGAGAGAAAAAAGGAACGGACUCUAUGGAAAAAGGAGAAUCAAGGAAGGACAAUUGGAAGAAAAGGAAGGGGCGGAAUUAAAAUCUUGUAAUUAGAUUUCCCACAUACACGCGCGCACAAAAUAAUUAUUGUUACAUAACAGAACUAUUUUAUAUUAAAAUAUUCUUCUUUAGCCAUAAAGUAACAUUGAAAUAAAAGAAUCAGCAAAAGCGAGCAUGUUUUUCUCCCUAUGAUAUUCACAUUAAUUCAUGGAAACAAAACAUUUUCCACCGAAAUCUACGUUCACAGAAAAUAAAACCCGCAAUUACGUUAAACGUGCAAUCCGCUGGAAAAAAUCGAUACCCUUCGGUUUUUAGAACUGGUGAAGGUAUUAUUAUUGCAGCGUUGCCAGUAACCUGAUGCCAUAGUCAAUCGAGCAGAAUCUAGGAUCGAUAUAUGUGCACACACGCAAAGAAAACGCUGGGAAAGGAAAAAAAGAAGAGAGAAAAUGGGAGGGAAAAAAGAGAAAAGUUUCAUUGCGUGUAUACUGGUUAUUGGAGUAUACGGAGUGGCCGAAGGCCGGAAAGCAGUUACGAAGUUCAUUGCGCCGCGUAAUUAAAGCGCGAAGUGGCGAACAAUACGACAACCGUCGAUGCCGAUUCACCCUUCAAACAAAACUUCACCCUGCGCCGUUUGCGUAACAGCCUUUAAUGACUGAAUGAGCCAUGCCGGAGGAAUCGUAUCUUCAUUCGUUUCCAAUAAUCAGCUAAGAGUUAAUGGAGAUUGAAUGCUUUUCAAGGAUUCCUUGGUUUAGAAUGACGAUAUUAGAAGAAUAACUAUUUUUCAUGCUCUCUGAGGAAUAUUCGCUUGUCGGUAGUUGCACUAUCUUUUGUUAAGACUCAUUCAGAUUAAACAAUUCGCUUGAAUUCAAGUAACCUGAUCUUAAUCCAUGGGCCAAGUGGUGAAAUAAUGUGAAGGUGUUAUAUUGUAUCAUAUUGUAAUUAGUAAAUUACAAUGAUUAUAAUUUGAGAUUGAAGUUACUUAUAAUUGUAAUUAUAAUGUCUCCUAAUAUUAUAAUAUUGCCAAAUACAUGUAAUACAAAAUAUAAGUAAAUGUUUUCUGAUAGAGAAUAUACGGAUGUAUCAGUUUCAUAAUAAAACAUAUAGUAAGAUAUAAAUAAAUACAUUAUGAUAAACUGAAAGAUAAAUAAGAACAGUAAUUAAAGCAUAUGAUCAAUAUGGUGAAAUAAGUGAAACGAAUGAAAAUAAUGCGUAUUUAUAGCAGGUAUUUACAUAUUGACAAUCAACAGUGACUUGAUAAAGAAAACACUGAAUCUUCAGUAUGUUGUGUUCACAGCCUGUUCAUUUCAAUUAUUAGCGGCAAAAAGCCAAUAAGAUCGAGUAGCUGUGCUCGAAGCGAUAUUCACGUUUUCGAGGAAUCGUCGAGGAGAGCUAUUUUCAUAGCUCUGAGAAACGCCGUUUGUUUUGUUGGUCCUCUAAAGCUAAAGCACGGCCGUGUGCUUAUUUAUGUGUAUUCAAAUUGUACAUUCGUGAUUUGCAACGAAUAGCUGGCGGGAACGCCAAAUUCCUACUUCGUUCGAAUUUAAAACACGCCAUCGCUUUGGAUAAGAUUUGGAACACCUGAAUAAGCUUACUUUAUUUCGUUUUUGUCGAGCUUCAAAGUGAUAUAAAUGGGAACUCCUAGCGAAACGUAAAGCCAGAGUUAGCGAUUUAAGAAAUUUAGUAUUUUUUAUUUUAAUGUCAUUUUCAGUUUAGUUUAAUAGAAUUUAAAAGGAAAGUGAAUAUUCUAUCUGGAAUGCAUAAAUAAUUUUUUCAUCGAAUACUCGCGUUAUUGAAAAGUGUUUUUACUCAUGCAACAAGCGAUCGCAAUUGUGUGACAUUUAGUGUAUUUUUAACUUUGCAACGUAGUCAUUACGCGGAAAAACACAUACCAGGCUGAAGAAUUUUAACGAGCAGAGAUAAGAACUCAAUUGCGACGAACUUAACUGAAUAGUGCACUUGUAAACCUUAGCACCUAUUCUGAGAUCCCAUCACUAUUUUCCGUGCGCGUUUGCAUCGGCGCGACUGAUGAACUUUAGCGGUGAUUCGCCUUCGGGCGAACACGGGCCACAAUGCAUAGGAACGGAGUUUCGCAAUGACAGAAAACAGGCCAUCGCGAUGGCACGAUUUUAUGAGUUACGCUGUGCGGCAAACAAACGACGAUUGUUACGAUCUAUUCUCUCCUCGUGCUCGCACGCUAUGUAAUAAGAUCGAAGAUAAACGUGUUUUUAUCGAUCCUGCAUCGAAUACUCCGCUUGCUCAAUCAAUUCUUUAAGAAGAACCGAAGUCAUGAAUUAAAAAACAGCGCAAGUCCACCAACUAAAGAAGAUAAAGAAAAAGGAAUAACACUCUUCAUAUAUCUUCUUUAACUUAUUAUUGAUUUUGUUGAGAUUUAUUUAAUUAUAGAUCGUUUUUAAAUCUUUGAUUAAUUUAUUAUAAAAUAAAAUGAACCUUAAAACCUAAGACGAAAGUAUUAAAAAAUUCUAGUAUUCGACCGUUCGCGCACAGACGCGUUCGUGGUAGAUCGCAUCAACAAGAGUCGUAAAUUCUCGUUGCGAUUAGAUAAUCGACGCCACGAAUUGGUCGAUCCCCUAUUUCGAUUAAGAUAAUGGAGGUGUACUGAACUGAGGUAACAGGUUAUAAUAUAUCUAUUCCAAUAACUGUGUAGACAUAAAUAGUCACGCUUGGUGCGCGUAGACGUAUUCUCAGAGACAUGUAAAUAGUAAGUUAAAACUGAUGACUGAUCAAUGAACGAAGAACCAGUCAAGACAUUGACUGAUCAACAGAUGAAAAACCAGUCAAGAGACGUCGACUGAUCAAAGGCUGAUAAACGUGAAGUUCGGUGACGAUGCUGUCGCAGAGGAAAACUAUUGCUGGGGGUUGGACGCCCCGCCACUGGUCGCUUGCGGGUGGAAAUAACCAUUGAACAUGGAAAAAACCCGACCUUCGCACUUUUUACCUGAUGGAACAAUAAACAUAAGGAACGUUUCGACUUGAAUAUAUUUUAUUACAAUUAAGGUAAAAAACAAAUGCUUAGUUUUAUGACAGUUCUUUAGGAUUAUUGCGGUCCGACUAUUUAUAUUUGCGCAGUUAGUGGCCGUCUUGACCGAGAGAUGGAGUUUGGUUUGUAUAAGGUAACGGGACGUAGUAUCUAGAGAAUAUAGUUUAAUUGCAUUGGAGUUUCUAGGGUACUAGAAGUAUGUAGUUUAAUCGUUUCUGAAACGUGUAAUUUCGUUGGAAGUAUAAUUUAUGAUAGCAUAUAGGCACAGUUCACCUUGUGGACUGUAAUAUAUUGCGAAAUAAGUCGAAGAAACGAACAACUCGAAACUCGAGAUAGUUUCUUAAUAAACAAAAAUUAUUGUUUCCUAGUUCAUAGAUUAUUUAAAAAUAUUUUGUACGUAUUAUAUAAUACUAUAUUUUAUUACUAUCGUAUUUUAUUUCUAACAAUUGUAACUGACAAAAAUUGAAUUUCUCUUAUUAAAGAUAAGAAUACACAUAUAUACUUAUAUACAUA